GACGAACGCUGGCGGCGUGCUUAACACAUGCAAGUCGAACGGAAAGGCCCUGCUUUUGUGGGGUGCUCGAGUGGCGAACGGGUGAGUAACACGUGAGUAACCUGCCCUUGACUUUGGGAUAACUUCAGGAAACUGCGGCUAAUACCGGCUAGGAGCUCCUGCUGCAUGGUGGGGGUUGGAAAGUUUCGGCGGUUGGGGAUGGACUCGCGGCUUAUCAGCUUGUUGGUUGGGUAGUUGCUUACCAAGGCUUCGACGGGUAGCCGGCCUGAGAGGGUGACCGGGGACAUUGGGACUAAGAUAGGGACCAGACUGCUACGGGAGGCAGCAGUGGGAAAUAUUGCACAAUGGGCGGAAGCCUGAUGCAGCAACGCCGGGAGCGGGAUGACGGCCUUCGGGUGGUAAACCGCUUUCGCCUGUGACGAAGCGUGAGUGACGGUAAUGGGUAAAGAAGCACCGGCUAACUACGUG
rnacentral:rRNA from 1 species